rnacentral:tRNA from 1 species
GGGAAUGUAGCUUAGUGGUAGAGUGCUUGCCUAGCAUGCAAGAAAGCCCUCAAUACCA